CCUACGGGCGGCAGCAGUGAGGAAUAUUGGUCAAUGGACGAGAGUCUGAACCAGCCAAGUAGCGUGAAGGAUGACUGCCCUAUGGGUUGUAAACUUCUUUUAUAUGGGAAUAAAACGUUCCACGUGUGGGAUUUUGUAUGUACCAUAUGAAUAAGGAUCGGCUAACUCCGUGCCAGCAGCCGCGGUAAUACGGAGGAUCCGAGCGUUAUCCGGAUUUAUUGGGUUUAAAGGGAGCGUAGGUGGAUUGUUAAGUCAGUUGUGAAAGUUUGCGGCUCAACCGUAAAAUUGCAGUUGAAACUGGGAGUCUUGAGUACAGCAGAGGUGGGCGGAAUUCGUGGUGUAGCGGUGAAAUGCUUAGAUAUCACGAAGAACUCCGAUUGCGAAGGCAGCUCACUGGACUGCAACUGACACUGAGGCUCGAAAGUGUGGGUAUCAAACAGGAUUAGAUACCCGUGUAGUC
rnacentral:rRNA from 1 species